rnacentral:lncRNA from 1 species
GGGGGGCUGCAUCCAGGCCCCCUGCCCCCCUGCCCACCUCCCACAGGGGCUCCCCGGCACCACCGGGCACCCCCAGACAUCCCAGUGCCUCCCCCACCACCGUCCCAGUGUCCCCACCACCACCAUCCCGGUGUCCCCGCCACCAUCCCGGUGCGUCCCCUUCUCUGGUGCACAGGACCCCCCCAAGCACCCCAUUUCCCCAGCGCACAGCUCCCAGGCAGAGUAGGGAGCUGACCCCAACCCCGACCCCUUCCCCGUCCCCACCACCUCUCCAUGUGCCAUCCGUCCGUGGCUCCGUGGCGGUGACAAGCGCGGUGCUGGCAUCGUCCCCAUGGCUGUGGGGAGCAGGCAGGAGGGGGGCAGCGUCUCCCCGCUCCCCGGGGUCGCCUCCUGCUCCCCGUGCCACCCGUGCUCGGUGCUGGCCGUGCUCCUGGGGGGGCCGUGAGCAUCCCCCAGGCACGGUGGGGCUGCGGUCGCUGCCCCCCAGCCCUGGCGCUGCAGGAGGCAGGGGGGGCUCGACGCCGGCUGGGGCGCAGCCUGGGACCCCCGGCACAGCGGGUGGGCGCAGGGCGCUGGGGGGCCGGGGGUGGCACUUGGGGGGGCUGGGGUCGCCGUCGGUCCCUGCCGUGUGUCCGGCGGCCCUGACGCCCGUCCGUGUGUCCGUCCCGCAGGUUCGCAGAUCGAUGACCACGUUCCAAAGCGAGCUUCGGCCCGGAUUCUCGCUCCCCCCGGAGGCCGGUCGAGCGGCAUUUGGUAAAGCCGGGGACCUGGCCCCCAACUGAGGACGCGGGCGCCGGGCCCCGCGCCCCCCUUCCCCCGCUCGGCACCGGCCGGGCCGUGGCCCCUCCGCUGGGGCUCCCCCCCCACCCCGUGCCCACCGCCCCGGCGGAUUUGGGGGGGCCCUGCCCGGCCCCGUGCUGCCCGGCGGGGGCCGUGCCGGGGGGCGCCCGCAGCGCCAGCCCUGUGCCGGGGGACCCCCGCUGCCGGGCUCCUGGAGCCGAGCCGGUGGGGGUCCGGGGGGGGGGGGCCGAGCCCCCCGCCCGUGGGCCGGGGCCGGGGGCAGGAGGUGUGCCCGCCCCGUCCCUUUUCUGUUUGCACGUUGGGUUUGGAUCAGUGAUUUUUUGACUUGUUUGUGCAUCACGUGGAAAUACUCUGAGUGGUUUGUGUCACUAGAGCUAGGGGAGACACGGGAGAAGCAGGGACCCUACCCCACACACACACCCCUCCGGCCCCCCGGGGCCCCCGCCCCCCCCCUACCCAUCACGCCAUGGUGCUACCGGGGGGGCCGCCGCUGCCCCCCGCCGCCCCCUGCGCCCCCGUUCCCCCGGGGUAGUGUGAAAUGUGAAAUGUGGCUCGUGCACUUUGUCCCCGUAGUUGGUCCUGUAGGCGUGCGGGGUCCGCCCCGCGCGGUGCCGCUCCGUUUGCUCAUUAAAGCCCCCAAAUCACCGCGCCCGGCCUCGCUGCCUGCUUGGGGUCGGGGCUGGGAGGCGGCGGCGGCGGCGGAGGCGCAUGCGCGGUGCGCGCCCGGUGCCGGCCCGGUCCCGAGAGCCCGGCGCGGAGCAGGCGGAGGCAGAGCGGAGGCCGGGGCGACCCCGGCCCGAGCGCGGUGAGUGCGGCACCGGGGGGGC